rnacentral:rRNA from 1 species
AGGAUGUGGUUCAAUUCGAUGCUACGCGAAGAACCUUACCUGGGCUUGACAUGCAGGUGGUAGUGACCCGAAGGGAAGCGACCGGGGUUUAUCCCUGGAGCCUGCACAGGUGCUGCAUGGCUGUCGUCAGCUCGUGCCGUGAGGUGUAUGGUUAAGUCCCGCAACGAGCGCAACCCCUGCCCCUAGUUGCUAACCCGCGAGGGUGCACUCUAGGGGGACUGCCUCCGUCAAGGAGGAGGAGGGUGGGGAUGAUGUCAAGUCAUCAUGGUCCUUAUGCCCAGGGCUACACACGUCCUACAGUGGCCGUUACAAUGGGAAGCUACAUCGCGAGGUGAUGCCAAUCCUGUAAAAGCGGCCAUGGUUCGGAUUGCAGGCUGCAACUCGCCUGCAUGAAGAUGGAAUCGCUAGUAAUCACUGAUCAGCAUGCAGUGGUGAAUACGUUCCCGGGCCUU